rnacentral:ncRNA from 1 species
AAAGGGGAGUCGGCGCGCCGGCUGAGAGGGAAUACGUUCGAUUCCGACCCUGGAACCUGAUACGGAUCAUGCCGGCGUAGGGAUAGUGUGAU